ACAACUUGAUUACAAUUUAUCAGUAUUUUUACAGGCUGUUUAGACAGCCAAUUCACUGUAGCAGGCGGUCUAAAAGUACAUACAGCAUCAGGAGUGGGGGGGUCAAACUCGGCAGGGCCUCUGCAACGCUCCCCUGCAAUAAAUAUAAAUCGCUGCUAUGAAAAGCAGAAACGGGAGGAAAAUCAAACUUUUUUAUGAAUAAAGUGAUUUUUUUUUGCUAGAAAAUUUAACGUAGCCUUGUAAAGCAUGAGGAGGGUGAAAUAUCACUUCAAGCCGCCUUUAAAAAAAAAUAAAAAUGGACAGCAAUACGGCAGCAGCAGUCUUUUGAAAGGAUCCUUACUGUAAAGAAAACUGGCAAGUUCAAGGACCUUCGUUGAAGGAAUCAGCAGAGGCUCACAGAGGAAGGAGGGUCCUGCAGGUGCGCUGGGUUUGCGGUUUCAAAUUUUCGCUCCUCCGGGCUUUCCUGCCUGCACAGACGUGAAGUCCCCCUAGCCACUGCGGUGGGUAUUCAGAGCACGAAUCCUCCAGUGAGAAAUCCAAGCAGUAAGCGUUCCUGAAAAUCUGACCCUAAAUUCGUCUGCUACUAAUUAAAUGAAACACUUAAACACGAACCCAACCAAUCAUUAAGGAAACACUUGAAAAUAAAUGUUCAAUCUCUCCCAUGCUAAGGGGUAAUGUAGCGAGACUCUCGACUCCAAUAAAUUAAACCCGCACAGCC